GCCAUCAUGUCUCAGAGGUUGAGCAUUGGUCCUGUAAACCAGGGGGCGUGAGUUCGAACUUCAAUGGUAGUU